AUUGAACGCUGGCGGAAUGCUUUACACAUGCAAGUCGAACGGCAGCACGGGUGCUUGCACCUGGUGGCGAGUGGCGAACGGGUGAGUAAUACAUCGGAACGUACCCAGUCGUGGGGGAUAACGUAGCGAAAGUUGCGCUAAUACCGCAUACGUCCGGAGGGAGAAAGCGGGGGACCGUAAGGCCUCGCGCGAUUGGAGCGGCCGAUGUCUGAUUGGCUAGUUGGUGAGGUAAAGGCUCACCAAGGCGACGAUCAGUAGCUGGUCUGAGAGGAUGAUCAGCCACACUGGAGCUGAGACACGGUCCAGACUCCUACGGGAGGCAGCAGUGGGGAAUUUUGGACAAUGGGCGAAAGCCUGAUCCAGCCAUUCCGCGUGAGUGAAGAAGGCCUUCGGGUUGUAAAGCUCUUUCGGCAGGAACGAAACGCUCUAGAUUAAUACUCUGGGGUAAUGACGGUACCUGAAGAAGAAGCACCGGCUAACUACGUGCCAGCCGCCGCCGUAA
rnacentral:rRNA from 1 species